GUGCUACAAGCGGUAAGAGUAAGGCUAAUGGUAACGCCUCCAGGAGGCCCAAAGAGAAAGAUGAACAGUAGCAGCAAUCCUGAAACAAUGAGACCAAAAAAACAGCGGCGCAACUCUGCGCGCACGACACACGAACUGGCGAUCUGGCAAGAGUUAUUCAAGAUGUCCACGGAUCGGUGUAUACUUCUGCUGCGCUUGGUGUGGCUCUUACAGGUACUUGAAGAUCAGGCCACCGUGGGUAGCGAAGAAGGGGGCGAACACAAGGGACUCCACGGCCAUGAGCUUGAUGAGGAUGUUGAGGGAUGGGCCAGAGGUGUCCUUCAGGGGGUCACCGAUGGUGUCGCCGAUAACGGCAGCCUUGUGGCAGUCUGAUCCCUUGGGGCCCAGGGUCCUUGCGUGCUCGCUGGCACCAGCCUGAAACAAACAAGGUAAAGUUGAGGACAAAGUUAAUCACUGACCAUAGAUACUGACUCGUAUUAUCCAGGACUUUUUCAGAGCCCUUACCUCAAUGUACUUCUUGGCAUUGUCCCAUGCACCACCAGUGUUGGAAGCAGAGAUGGCAAUCUGCCAAGAUUUCAAACGUCAUAAACCAUUCAACCAGUUAACACACAAAAGUAAAUACACAGAGCAACAGGAAGUGAUACGCACCUGCACUCCAGAAACCAGGGCACCAGCAAGAACACCAGAGAGGGUCUCCACACCAAAGAGGGUUCCAACAAUGAGGGGAGUGAGCAUGACCAGAGCACCUGGGGGGAUCAUCUCCUUGAUGGAAGCAUCGGUAGAGAUCUUGACACAGGUAGCGUAGUCAGGCUUGCCAGUUCCCUCCAUCAGACCAGGAAUGGUGUUGAACUGCCUGCGGACCUCCUCAACCAUCUUCAGAGCAGCACUUCCAACACUCUUCAUGGUCAUGGCAGAGAACCAGUAUGGAAGCAUGGCUCCGACAAUCAAGCCAAUGAAGACCUUGGGGGACAGGACAUCGACAACCUUCACUCCAGCUCUGCUGACAAAGGCACCAAAAAGGGCCAGGGACACAAGAGCAGCUGAUCCAAUGGCAAAUCCCUGCAAGAGGAUACAAAUGAAAUAAGUUCAACAAUUUCCUUGUUAAACAUCUAAUAGAAUCGAAUCGACUUGAGCCAACACAGAAUACAACUUUACCUUUCCAAUAGCAGCAGUGGUGUUGCCAGCUGCAUCAAGAGCAUCAGUUCUCUCACGGAUUCUGUGGCUCAUUCCAGCCAUCUCAGCAAUGCCACCAGCAUUAUCACUAAUGGGACCAUAAGCAUCAAUAGCAAGGCCAGUUGCGAUUGUGCUUAGCAUACCAAGGGCGGCAACUGCUAUGCCGUACAUUGCAGCAAUAGAGAAACUGACAUAGAUGCUGACAGCAAUGGCGAAAAUUGGGAUGAUAACUGACUUGUAUCCUAGAGCCAGACCGAAAAUCACAUUGGUGGCAGCACCAGUUCUGCAGGAAUCCGCAACAUCUUGCACAGGACU
rnacentral:lncRNA from 1 species